UACGGGGGGGGCAAGCGUUGUUCGGAAUUACUGGGCGUAAAGGGCUCGUAGGCGGCCAACUAAGUCAGACGUGAAAUCCCUCGGCUUAACCGGGGAACUGCGUCUGAUACUGGAUGGCUUGAGUGUUGCAGGGGAGACUGGAAUUCCUGGUGUAGCGGUGAAAUGCGCAGAUAUCAGGAGGAACACCGGUGGCGAAGGCGGGUCUCUGGGCAACAACUGACGCUGAGGAGCGAAAGCGUGGGGAGCGAACAGG
rnacentral:rRNA from 1 species